ACACACACACACAGAUUGCUGAGUCCAUAUACACACACACACACACACAGACUCUGCUGAGUCCAUACACACACACACAGACUCUGCUGAGUCCGUACACGCACACACACACAGACUCUGAUGAGUCCGUACACACACAGACUCUGCUGAGUCCGUACACACACACACACAGACUCUGCUGAGUCCGUACACACACACAGACUCUGCUGAGUCCGUACACACACACAGACUCUGCUGAGUCCGUAC